UGGGGAAUCUUGCGCAAUGGCCGCAAGGCUGACGCAGCGACGCCGCGUGUGGGAGGACGCCCUUCGGGGUGUAAACCACUGUUGCCCGGGACGAAACCCGCUUCGAGCGGAUUGACGGUACCGGGUGAGGAAGCACCGGCUAACUCCGUGCCAGCAGCCGCGGUAAUACGGAGGGUGCGAGCGUUGUCCGGAAUCACUGGGCGUAAAGGGCGCGUAGGCGGUUGGAGAAGGCUGUGGUGAAAGUCCGGGGCUCAACCCCGGAUCGGCCGUGGCGACUCUCUGACUGGAGCACUGUAGAGGCGGGUGGAAUUCCGGGUGUAGCGGUGGAAUGCGUAGAGAUCCGGAAGAACACCGGUGGCGAAGGCGGCCCGCUGGGCAGUAGCUGACGCUGAGGCGCGACAGCGUGGGGAGCAAACAG
rnacentral:rRNA from 1 species